AUUGACUUGGUAACGCAGCUAACGCGUGAAGUAGACCGCCUGGGGAGUACGGUCGCAAGAUUAAAACUCAAAGGAAUUGACGGGGAGCCGCACAAGCGGUGGAUGAUGUGGAUUAAUUCGAUGCAACGCGAAAAACCUUACCUACCCUUGACAUGGCUGGAAUCCCCGAGAGAUUGGGGAGUGCUCGAAAGAGAACCAGUACACAGGUGCUGCAUGGCUGUCGUCAGCUCGUGUCGUGAGAUGUUGGGUUAAGUCCCGCAACGAGCGCAACCCUUGUCAUUAGUUGCUACGAAAGGGCACUCUAAUGAGACUGCCGGUGACAAACCGGAGGAAGGUGGGGAUGACGUCAAGUCCUCAUGGCCCUUAUGGGUAGGGCUUCACACGUCAUACAAUGGUACAUACAGAGCGCCGCCAACCCGCGAGGGGGAGCUAAUCGCAGAAAGUGUAUCGUAGUCCGGAUUGUAGUCUGCAACUCGACUGCAUGAAGUUGGAAUCGCUAGUAAUCGCGGAUCAGCAUGUCGCGGUGAAUACGUUCCCGGGUCUUGUACACACCGCCCGUCACACCAUGGGAGCGGGUUUUACCAGAAGUAGGUAGCUUAACCGCAAGGAGGGCGCUUACCACGGUAGGAUUCGUGACUGGGGUGAAGUCGUAAAACAAGGUAGCCGUAUCGGAAGGUGCGGCUGGAUCACCUCCUUUCU
rnacentral:rRNA from 1 species